UACGGAGGGAGCUAGCGUUGUCCGGAUUUAUUGGGCGUAAAGAGCGUGUAGGCGGCCUGAAAGGUCAGCUGUGAAAACUCGAGGCUCAACCUCGAGACGUCGGUUGAAACCAUCUGGCUAGAGUCCGGAAGAGGAGAGUGGAAUUCCCGGUGUAGCGGUGAAAUGCGCAGAUAUCGGGAGGAACACCAAUGGCGAAGGCAGCUCGGUGGGACGGUACUGACGCUGAGACGCGAAAGCGUGGGGAGCAAACAGG
rnacentral:rRNA from 1 species